UCAACGUCUCCUUGGUGCGGGACCCGC
rnacentral:piRNA from 1 species